GACGAACGCUGGCGGCGUGCUUAACACAUGCAAGUCGAACGGAAAGGCCCUGCUUUUGUGGGGUGCUCGAGUGGCGAACAGGUGAGUAACACGUGAGUAACCUGCCCUUGACUUUGGGAUAACUUCAGGAAACUGGGGCUAAUACCGGAUAGGAGCUCCUGCUGCAUGGUGGGGGUUGGAAAGUUUCGGCGGUUGGGGAUGGACUCGCGGCUUAUCAGCUUGUUGGUGGGGUAGUGGCUUACCAAGGCUUUGACGGGUAGCCGGCCUGAGAGGGUGACCGGCCACAUUGGGACUGAGAUACGGCCCAGACUCCUACGGGAGGCAGCAGUGGGGAAUAUUGCACAAUGGGCGGAAGCCUGAUGCAGCAACGCCGCGUGCGGGAUGACGGCCUUCGGGUUGUAAACCGCUUUCGCCUGUGACGAAGCGUGAGUGACGGUAAUGGGUAAAGAAGCACCGGCUAACUACGU
rnacentral:rRNA from 1 species